rnacentral:rRNA from 1 species
UACGUAGGGUGCAAGCGUUGUCCGGAAUUAUUGGGCGUAAAGAGCUCGUAGGCGGUCUGUCGCGUCUGCUGUGAAAACUCAGGGCUUAACCCUGAGCUUGCAGUGGGUACGGGCAGACUAGAGCGCGGUAGGGGAGACUGGAAUUCUUGGUGUAGCGGUGAAAUGCGUAGAUAUCAAGAGGAACACCUGCGGCGAAGGCGGGUUGCUGGGCCGACACUGACGCUGAGGCGCGAAAGCUAGGGGAGCAAACGGG